rnacentral:rRNA from 1 species
AGGUAUGGGGCUAGCGGAGGAAGGAAAAAGGGGGAGAAAAGGGAGAGAAGGAGGGGAAUUAAGUUGGGUGUGAAAUCCCUGGGCUCAACCCAGGAACUGCAUCCAAAACUGGUUCUCUUGAGUUCGGGAGAGGAGAGCGGAAUUCCCGGUGUAGCGGUGAAAUGCGUAGAUAUCGGGAAGAACACCAGUGGCGAAGGCGGCUCUCUGGCCUAGAACUGACGCUGAAGCGCGAAAGCGUGGGGAGCGAACGG